rnacentral:lncRNA from 1 species
UUGAAGUGAUCAAUUCUAUCUUGACUCACACACCGACUUCACAAGUACUUGACGGUGCCCAAAAAUUUUUUGAUCCUAAAUUAAAAAUUCAAGUAGUCUGAUACCAAAGCACAGUGAAUUGCUUGCAAGUCACUAUAGUGAUCUCAGGUUAAAGGGACACUUAUACCUCUAUCCCUUUGGAGUGACUCUUGAUAGCAGAGUACUCCAAAAUUGAUCA